AAGCAAAUUUUCAGUAGCGCCAUGUCAGCGCGCAAGCAAGAAACUACAACGGGAAUGCCUAACAGAUGCAAAUGGGCGAUAGGCUGCAUGUCGGCGCUGCUUUGUGUUCUUAUUGCGGUAAUUAUUUGGUUGGCACUAAAACAACCCCAGUGUCAGAACCAAACGAUAUCGCAGGAAAAUGACCAGUUGGACCAGCUUCAAUUACAAAUUGCCAACUUAACUGCUACAGUUACAAAAUAUCAAACUCAGUUCAAUGAGUGUAAAAUCAACCUGACCAGAACCAAGGAACAGCUGACAGAGGAGUUGAAACAAUGUCAAGUGAAGAGAAAAAAUUGUGAAGCUCAGCUAUCUGCUUUGAACCUGAGCACUGUGCACAGGGUUCACAGUUGUUGGAUUGUUCUCUCCAUGUUCUGCUUCAUGUUACUGCUCAAUUAGAGGUGGAUGGGGUUCUGGUGGAGUCCAUGAUCUACAGCUGCACUCAAACUGUGGCUCUUUACAGUGGUGGUUUCCACUCCCAGAGUUCACUGACCAGCCAUUUUUGAGAUAUCCCAAAGUGCUGCCUGGAAGACACACACCUUCAGGGGGAGGCCCCGUGGACCAGCCAAUUCCAUGCCAGCGUCACCAACAGGCGUCGCAGGAGAAACGGAACAUCGCAAGCAGUGUAUUGGCUGUCAGAAGCCUUUGUACUUGGGCGAUCGCUUGCUCCCUCUCUCUCGAUGACGGGGGAGUUUGCUGCCAAUUCUCAAGUUGGAGAAGCACAGAGUAAAAGUGACACAGCAGCCUGUAACAUCGUAAUCAGCGUGCUGUGGUGACGACACUGACACCUCUCUGUCCCUUGUUAUAGAGAGAGAUCAAUCCUGUGGCAUGUUGAGUGAAUAAUUAGUCAUUGUUGGUGCAGAUCAUGGUCUCUUUUUCGGAGGCUUUUUUAUUGCUUGCUUGGUGGGCGCUGGGUGCUGAUGAUUCCUGCUGAAAUAAGCUGGGGAGGGGUAACGCUUUGCAGUUGCUUGUGCGCGAGCGGGGGCAGACGGGCUUUGGGGUUCGAAUGUUUUUCCUGUCAUUCAUUGGGGUUCUCGUUUUCAUGGAUGUCUGUGAAGAGUAAGAAUUUCAGGCUGUAUACUGUAAACAUUCUCUAAUGUUAAAUGGAACCAUUGAACCAAAUAACAGGAAUUCUGCAGAUGCUGGAAAUUCAAGCAACACACAUAAAAGUUGCUGGUGAACGCAGCAGGCCAGGCAGCAUCUCUAGGAAGAGGUGCAGUCGACGUUUCAGGCCGAGACCCUUCGUCAGUUUUUAAGGAAAAGUGGGGGACAGAUACCAGAAUAGGCACGGAACAUAGAUUGUUCCACAAAGCCAACAAAAAGGCAGGCAUAGCUAGGACCCAUACGGGUGCCCAUAGCUACACCUUUAGUUUGCCAACAAAAAGGCAGGCAUAGCUAGGACCCAUACGCAAACAAAAAGGCAGGCAUGGCUAGGACCCAUAUGCCAACAAAAAGGCAGGCAUGGCUAGGACCCAUACCUAACAAAAAGGCAGGCAUGGCUGGGACCCAUACUGACGAAGGGUCUCGGCCUGAAACGUUGACUGCACCUCUUCCUAGAGAUGCUGCCUGGCCUGUUGCAUUCACCAGCAACUUUGAUGUGUGUUCCAUUGAGCCAAAUGUUGGCCUGUACUGGCCAAGUGAGCAAAUAGAACAGGAACCCAAGAGUAGAAUCAGCUAUGUAGCUCAAGUCUGCUCCAUCAUUCAAUACAAUCACAUUGAUCUGCUCGCAUGCUUUUCAGUUUUACUUUCGUGUUAGAUCACUAUUCUCAUGGACUUCAAUCACUUACAUCAGCAAGAUCACCAAGUUUGAUUGGCAAUGGAAUUACCCAAUCUUUUCCUUUCUGGCUUGCAUUUUGCAGAUAAAAUAAUUGAAGUUAAGUUAUAUUAUGCAGGAAGAAUGUGUCUAACCUCUGGA